GUAAUUGCAUGACUGCAAGCACGUCAUAUGGACAAGAAUAUUCACCACUUCAAGAACCGUUAAUGGGAUGAGGAUAGAGCCCCAAGCUGACAUGCAGCACCUGAAAUAAUCACUUGUAUGAGUUUCUGGAGAAAAUCUCAUAAUGGUGACCAAAAUAAAAUCAUAAUCCUGAGCUUGCAAAGCAGAAACUGCAGCACAACCAACACAGCACUCCGGUGGCAUCAGUGAGGAGGUAACUCUAUACCACCCAACACGAGAGAGCUCACCCAAGAUAUAGGAGACCUUCCUGCUACUCUGAAGAGAGGGCCAAGAGAAUGGAGGGUGAAACGCUUCUGGGAUCUUUCCACUGCUGCUGCUCCAAAAGAAGCUAGUUCCCACAGAACUGGAGCCAUUGGAUAUCGACUCCAUGUGUGUACUCCUAAAUAAUCCGAACUGAGGCUUUCUCUGUGCUGAGGUAUUUGUCCACCUCUCUCAUUUUAUCUCAGUCGAAAACCUUGGAGACUCAGAGCUGCAGAACCAAGCACCUCAACGCUUGAGCAAAAAGAGUUUCUAUAUUCACGGUCUGACGUUUCCUGUCAAGGCAGCCAAAAGCACACUCACCUCAACUUGCUUAACACUGUCAGAAGAAUAAUUCCUAAUUUCUCCAAUGUAAUUAACUAAUAGUGCUAAAGCUUAGUAUUUAGCUAAGGAGAUGAAACCAUUGAAACUAUGAACUGCUGCUUAGAUCAUUUGUUAAACAUAAGGCAUUGAAGCCCUAAUGCUUUACCCUUCCUAUUUCUCCCUCCCUUUCAUUUGACUCUUAUUCUGAAGAACUUCUAAAACCCAGAGUUUCAAAGCUUUAUUAAUUUCAUAUGGAGUUAUUAAGAACAAAUGAUGUGCAAUAAUGAACCAUUCCCUUUCCAAUUUAUUUUACAAUAUGCAAUGCGAAUUCAUGUUCAGCGCUCCCUACAGUAGCUGACGUGAAUAUUUUCCCCUUUCUUUUUCAAGCUGUUGCUUCAAAUUUCAGCUGUCGAGACCUUUCACGCAGUUAGCUCAAGAGGCACAAUCAGGUCUUUCAACAUGUUUGCUGGUCUCCAAGAAAUACGGUUCUCUGAAUUUCCAAAAAAUUAAAAAAAAGGCUGGGUCAACAUAUGUCACUGCUGCCCACCCAUAGUCUUCAGCCUGCACUGCUUCAUGAGACACACCUGAUCCACCAGGAUCUUCACGGAUUCACGGGCUGCAAGCAGAGACUGUCUUUAGGGCUCUGGCAUCCCUGUUUUCCAGAUCUUGUGGUGCUGUUCUUUCAAAUGAGGACUUUGCAUUAACAAAAGCAAAGUAAGAACACUGCUAGUUUUAUGCCUUGUUACAGGCAAGGACUGGCACCCUGGAAGCGCCCCCUCAGCAUCUUGGCUCAUACUGCAGCCUGGCCUGUACGACUCCUCUAGCAAAGGUGCCAGGGACUGAGUGACACGUUGGCAUGACCCAAGCAAGUGCAGAAUUUGGAACAAAUACAUGUACGAGAGGUCACUGAGACGUCCUUCACCUGCCAACAUCCCCAUCUUAUGGGAAGUCAUCAACCUAAGGACUGGUGCCCCAGUUCUGAAGUGCAUUGCUUAGAACCUCCAGAGAUGAGGCACGAACAAUCUCAGAUACACUUCUUCAUCUGACAUUCAGGGCAAACAUCUCUGCAAAAGCCUAGCCCAGGCCUCAAGAACAGUUUCCUGCAUUUACCUGUGGACCUCAGCACUGGUCCAGCAUCAUUUCCUCCUCUCUAAAAGAACCAUCUUCCACCCCCAGCAAGCAAUCUCAGAAGGAGACUCAGAACAGAAGGUGUAAAGUUGUAAUGCUCCCUGAAACAUCAAGAAAGCCUCUUUGGACUGGGGAGGCAUAAUCUGUCCUUUUUUGCAUACUAGAGUGCUAUAAGCAAACUGUAUAAGGAGAAGACUGGCACCAGAGCCUCUUCCACUCUUCCUAUGAAAAGCUUUCGAUAGACUGGCAAGAUAAAUCCAUGGAUUCAUGAGAAGCAAAGCUCGAGCAACAAAUCACAGUCCGGGCAGUCCUCAUUUUAUAAACAGAGAGCUUAUUGAAUCACUGCCCUAUGUCAGUCCCCUGUCAGAAUGAGUUAGUGCAGGCUGCAAGGCCUCUUUAACAGCAAUCCUUGGCCAGCCCAGAGACAGGCCCUCGGCAUUCCCCUGGGGAAGGCACCAGGCACAUGUGUUUCUCAGGAUGCCAUUCCCUGGAGCAGGCUGAAUCCCACCUAACUGCCAGAGCAAUUACUGUGUAUGGCAAUUGCACUGCAGGGAGUGAUGCAGACUCUCCGAACCUGCUGAGUGCCUCCCAUGACAUUUUAGCUCAGGAGGGAUAUGAGGUUCUUAAGUACAUGAUCAACAGCAGAAGUCCUAAUGUAUCUGCUAACGAGGAGAAAUAAUAUCUCCAGAAAGAGAGCGGUCUCCCAGAGCUGGAAAGAUCUCAGAAAUUGGGCAAACUCUAGAAUUGGGGGUGCAGAAACACACUGAAGAGAUGGUGACAACUGGCCAAUGCAUUUUUCAAAUGUUUAUUUCAAGGAAAAAAAUUUACUAUUUCUUGGCAGUCAUAUCCACUUAAACAUUUAUUUGUAAGGAGAGGGGAAAAAAAAGAGGACUUCAUUCCAAAAAUAACAGCACACACACUAAUUUUCUAAACUUAAAAAUAAAUAAACACUUGUGUCUGUUUACUGAAAACUGAUUUAAUAACCAGAUAGCUAAAAUCUGUUUUCAAACAUCACAGUUUCCAACAGCAACACUGCAUUUAAACCCAAUAUUCUUUUAAACACAUAAAUGCAAGGGGACUCCCAAAAGCUUUUCUGGCUCUUAAUGUAUUUGCUUAACCUACCUUGCAC